rnacentral:rRNA from 1 species
UACGGAGGGGGCGAGCGUUAUUCGGAAUUAUUGGGCGUAAAGGGCGCGUAGGCGGCUUGGCAAGUCAAAGGUGAAAUCCCUCGGCUCAACUGAGGAACUGCCUUUGAAACUGCCUGGCUUGAGGCCGGGAGGGGGUAGCGGAAUUCCCAGUGUAGCGGUGAAAUGCGUAGAUAUUGGGAGGAACACCAGUGGCGAAGGCGGCUACCUGGACCGGUUCUGACGCUGAGGCGCGAAAGCUAGGGGAGCAAACGGG